AUUGAACGCUGGCGGCAGGCCUAACACAUGCAAGUCGAACGAGUGGCGGACGGGUGAGUAAUGUAUGGGGAACUGCCCGAUGGAGGGGGAUAAAUACUGGAAACGGUGGCUAAUACCGCAUACUAUCGGAUGUACCCAUAUGGGAUUAGCUCGUAGGUGGGGUAAAGGCUCACCUAGGCGACGAUCUCUACCUGGUCUGAGAGGAUGAUCAGCAACACUGGGACUGAGACACGGCCCAGACUCCUACGGGAGGCAGCAGUGGGGAAUAUUGAACAAUGGGCGCAAGCCUGAUGCAGCCAUGCCGAGUGUAUGAAGAAGGCCUUAGGGUUGUAAAGUACUUUCAGCGGGGAGGCGUUACCCGCAGAAGAAGCACCGGCUAACUCCGUGCCAGCAGCCGCGGUAAUUC
rnacentral:rRNA from 1 species